rnacentral:tRNA from 1 species
GGCCUAAUGGUCUAGUAGUAUGAUACGCGCUUCGGGUGUGCGUGGUCCCGGGUUCAAUUCCCGGUUGGGCCC